rnacentral:tRNA from 7 species
GUGGCUGUAGCUCAGUUGGUAGAGCCCCGGAUUGUGAUUCCGGUUGUCGUGGGUUCGAGUCCCAUCAGCCACCCCA